rnacentral:rRNA from 1 species
UGGGGAAUUUUGGACAAUGGGCGAAAGCCUGAUCCAGCAAUGCCGCGUGUGUGAAGAAGGCCUUCGGGUUGUAAAGCACUUUUGUCCGGAAAGAAAUCCUUGGCCCUAAUACAGUCGGGGGAUGACGGUACCGGAAGAAUAAGCACCGGCUAACUACGUGCCAGCAGCCGCGGUAAUACGUAGGGUGCAAGCGUUAAUCGGAAUUACUGGGCGUAAAGCGUGCGCAGGCGGUUUGCUAAGACCGAUGUGAAAUCCCCGGGCUCAACCUGGGAACUGCAUUGGUGACUGGCAGGCUAGAGUAUGGCAGAGGGGGGUAGAAUUCCACGUGUAGCAGUGAAAUGCGUAGAGAUGUGGAGGAAUACCGAUGGCGAAGGCAGCCCCCUGGGCCAAUACUGACGCUCAUGCACGAAAGCGUGGGGAGCAAACAGGAUUAGAUACCCUGGUAGUCCACGCCCUAAAACGAUGUCAACUAGUUGUUGGGGAUUCAUUUCCUUAGUAACGUAGCUAACGCGUGAAGUUGACCGCCUGGGGAGUACGGUCGCAAGAUUAAAACUCAAAUGAAUU